rnacentral:rRNA from 1 species
AGUGAACGCUGGCGGUAGGCCUAACACAUGCAAGUCGAACGGCAGCACAGUAAGAGCUUGCUCUUACGGGUGGCGAGUGGCGGACGGGUGAGGAAUACAUCGGAAUCUACUUUUUCGUGGGGGAUAACGUAGGGAAACUUACGCUAAUACCGCAUACGACCUACGGUUGAAAGCAGGGGAUCUUCGGACCUUGCGCGAUUGAAUGAGCCGAUGUCGGAUUAGCUAGUUGGCGGGGUAAAGGCCCACCAAGGCGACGAUCCGUAGCUGGUCUGAGAGGAUGAUCGGCCACACUGGAACUGGGACACGGUCCAGACUCCUACGGGAGGCAGCAGUGGGGAAUAUUGGACAAUGGGCGCAAGCCUGAUCCAGCCAUACCGCGUGGGUGAAGAAGGCCUUCGGGUUGUAAAGCCCUUUUGUUGGGAAAGAAAAGCAGCAGGUUAAUACCCCGCUGUUCUGACGGUACCCAAAGAAUAAGCACCGGCUAACUUCGUG